UCCGCGCGCCCACCCGCCCCAGGCCUCGGCGGGACGCGCAGGCGCAGUCCCACGCGCCGGUCCCUGCCCCGCCCCCGGGCGCAGCGGUCUACGCAGGCGCAGUCCAGGGCGUUCGCCCCGCCUAGGGGCUCGGAGGGUCGCGCAGGCGCACUCGGGGCCGGGCUGCGGGGUCCGGGCGCGUGGGAGGCGGGGCGCGGCGGCCCGCGGAGCUUCCGGCUGCUCCUGCUGGACUGCCGGCUUCCGGAGCUGAGCGUAGCCUUUCUCUGGCUGAGCGUUUGGCGCGGAACUCGAGACUACUCCCUGUUGACGCGGGACGGCUGCGUUCGCACGCUGGCGCCGCGGGGAGUGCCGCGUCCGGCGGCUGGCGGCGACGCCCCGGCCCCCGCCCGCUCGCCCCGGGCACGCCCGGUCGCACACCCUCCGCUCCGGGCGGCCCUCGAGGCCCCCGUGUGGGAACUCUGCCGCCGCGCCGCCGGCUCCCGGCUCUGCGUGUCCGCGCGUGUCCGGGUCGGCCUGCAGUCCCCAGGCUGCGCGCGGGAGAGGGACCGUGACGGAUCGCGGUGUGGGUGGUGUGGGUGCUGGGGGAGCCGGGGCCGCGGCCUGCCCGCUGCCGGCCGCCCACCCACCUGCGGGAGGGGGCUGCCCUGGCCCUGGGGGCGAGGCGGGGCUCGGCCUGCGGCGGGCUCCGGAGGCACCUGGACGUCGCCGCCCCCAGCUGUGUGGCCUUGGACAUGAGCCCAGCUGGUGCCGGCCCGAGUGGAAGCAGCCGAAUCCCUCCGACACUGGUGACCGCUGGCCCCUGCAGUCGGUCGCCAGCGCACUUCCCCACCCGCCUGGUGGGCCGGGAGGAGUCUCCCAGAGGCGACGGUCACUGUGGGUGACCGGGACCUCUCAGCCGCAAACACCACCCCUCGCGUGAGGGAUUCGCCCCCGAGGGCAGCGCCCCAGGAGAAAGUCCCCCCGGGCUCCUGGAGGUGUGGACCAGUGGACCGAGGAGGACACGGCCGGGAGGCAGCGUGUGCAGGGGCCGCAUCCCUGCCCCCCCCCGAGGAGGGGGGGCUCAGCUUUUCUCGGGCCAGGUGUGGUGCAAGGCUGGGAAGGGGGUGCGGGGCCAGGGGCGGCCCAGGGGGCACCGCGGGGCUCGUCUUCCCUCCGCGGCCCAGGGCCGGGGCCCUGGGCCCACCCUGGCCCCCUGGUGAGCAGGGGCAUUGGAGUGAUGAGGGCAUGGAGGAAAGGAUCACAGGGAGCCGGGGGUCCCAUUGUCUUGUAGGUCCCCAGCCAGGGUGGGGACACAGAUGUGGUGGUAUAGGGGGUGUGACUGUCCUGGCUUUGGGCGGCUGGACCUAGGGGAGGGAGGAUCCCUGAGGCUAAGGCGCUGUGGCCAGGAUGUCCCACGUCCCACUCGAGGCCCCCACUUGCUUCCUUUCACUGCCUGGCUGCCACCCCUCCUACCACGCACCCCCAGGAAGCAGAGAGGAUGAGGCAGGCACAGUCCCCCGACCCGAGUCCAGCUCCGUGCGGUCACCUCAGGGCAGGCACAGUCCCCCCACCCGAGCCCAGCUCCGUGCCACCUCCUCAGGGCAGGCACAGUCCCCCCACCCCAGCCCAGCUCCGUGCGGUCUCCUUAGGCCCGUGGAGACCCCUCUUGCUGGCUACCCCAGCAGUGCUGAGACCCAUGCAGCCUAGAUGGCCCUGUUCUGAGCUUAGUGUGGGCUGGCUGGGAGGAGCCUGGCUGACCCUAACCCUAAUGCUGCCCCUCCCUGGUGUUGUCUAAAGACAGGGUUGCAACACUUAUUUUAAAUUUUUUUUUAAAUUUAUUUAUUUGAGAUGGAGUGUUACAGAGAGGCAGGGGGAGAGGUCUUCCAUGCAGUCCCCAAAUGGCCACAAUGGCUGGAGCUGUGCUGAUCAGGAGCCAGGAGCUUCCUCUGGGUCUCCCACGCAGGUGCAGGGCCCAAGGACUUGAGCCAUUUUCCACUGCUUUCCCAGGCCAGAGCAGAGAGCUGGAUCGGAAGUGGAGCAGCUGGGCCUCAAACCGGCGCCCAUUUGGGAUGGGGACACUGCAGGCGGCAGCCCUCCCCGCUAUGCCACAGCACCAGCUCUGGUUGCAGCAAUUUAAAGACCUGAAGUGGCUGUGAUGUAUGACUCCAGGCUGGAGAGGCUGGAGAGCCCUGGCGCCCUGCUUCGCUCGCGUGCACUGGAGGGCCUCCCCCCUUCCUGGCAGCUGGAAGGGCCGACAGACGGUCAGGGAAGGCUGCCCCUGCGCUCCUGGGACCUCCGGAGCACCCGAUGGUCACCGUGUCAGGAGGGGAGUGGGACUGAUGUCACCACACCACCAGCCUGGGGGGCUGACCAAGCCUGAAACUGGCCAGAGAGAGACAGAAAACUCCCGUCUGCUGGCCCGCUCCCCAGAUGCCUUCGGUGGCCAGUGGGCAGGGCUGAAGCCGGGAGCGUGGACCCCAGCGCGGCUCUCCCCCGUGGGUGACAGGAACCCACUUCCCUCCCGGGGUUCCCGUCAGCAGAAGCUGGAGUCAGGAGCCCAAGCUGACCAGAGCCGGGUGUUGCAGCAUGGGCUGUGGUUGUCUUCACCCGCGGCCAGCGCCUGCCUCCCGCCCGGAGCUCUCACCAGCAGCGUUCCCCGGACCUCCCCUGGCUGACGGCGGCUGCCGACGCCGACCGGCGGGGCCCAGCACACACCCCCACGGCCCACGGCGCAUGACGUAGCAGGAAACGUAUUUCUUCGCUGUCUCUGGCUCCUGCUGCAGAGCUGCGAAUCCCUUGGAAUCUCCUGGGUGAUGGCAGCAUCUUCCGUGCCGUGCGGGCCUCCCGGUGGGCUCCUGGUGGCCCCAGGCUGGGGGUGCUGGCCACUGGAAGACCAAGUGGUGACGGGCGUGGAGCUUUUAGCCCCACCUCCUGGGAGUGGGGGGCAGCUGGAGGCAGGGUUGAUGAUCAGUGACGCCCGUGUCCUGAAACCUCGGUGAGAGCCCCUGCGAGUCGAGGUCGUGGCGAGGGCAUCCGUGGGCACCCGACCCCGCGAGGCGGAGCUGCGGUCGGCAGCCCCCGGCCAGCUGUUGGGUGAACCCUUUCCGUGCCUAAUAACGGUCUGGUAAACGAGCCAGUGUCUCUUCAAGUCCUCUGAGCCGAUCCAGCAGAUUGGCCUUUGACAGGUGGGGCUCCAGGGGCCACCCAGACUAUUACCCACGCGGCACGGCGAGGGUCUGAGAUGUGUCCGUCUCCCUGCCAGACGCCGUUCUUAGGAGAGCACAACAGCUGUUUCUUCAUAGACCUUCUGGAACGUCUCUGAAAAUGCUGUUGAGAUGGAGCUGUGUCAAUCCAAAGCCAGGAGCCAGGAGCUUCUUCUAGGUCUCCCACGAGGUGCAGGGACCACUUGGGCCAUCUUCUACUGCUUUCCCAGGCCAGAGCAGAGAGCUGGAUGGGAAGAGGAGCAGCCGGGUCUCGAACUGGUGCCCAUAUGGGAUGCUGGCACUGCAGGCGGUGGCUUUACCAGCUACGCCACAGCGCCAGCCCCUGAAUUAAACAUUUUAAGUGCAUGAAUUAUAUGGUAUGUGAAUUACGUCUCAAUGAAACUGUUUUUAUAAAUACAUGCAGGCUCUGGUUCGUCACUGGGACGCCUGCUCUCUGCCAUGUUGUGUCAGCUGUGUUCUCUAUUCAACAUUGCUCACAUGCUUACUAUCAAAAUAUCGAAAAUAUAAUUUCAUAAAUAAUAAUAAAAAGUAAAACUAGAGACUUCCAGUUAGGGCGUAUAUGAUAUGGACUAACCUCUCCCUGCUCCUCUAGCUAAAUAUAAACUGUUAUCUAUAUUAUUUUUUAAAUUGUUGUUAUCUAUAUUAUUAAGACCGGGAAAUGAUACAGCUGGCGGUUACAGGGUUGUGCGUGGUGGGAAGAGGAAAGCAGGGGUCCUGACCAGACACGAGAGCAGCCUGAUUCUCCCGCUCCCGUCUGCAGCGGAAGGCAGCCAGGGACAGCGUCCCCCGGCCUCCAGCUGAUGACAAGGGCCAGGCCUGCUUCCCCCACUCUCCCACCUAACAGCGUCCCCCGGCCUCCAGCUGAUGGCAAGGGCCAGGCCUGCUUCCCCCACUCUCCCAUCUAACAGCAGGAGGAAACACAAAGCGCUCCCGUGGGGACGUCCAGUGGUACCAAGUCUGCCGGCCCCUCCCCACCUAGCAGCUCUGGGCAGCCUGAGAAACACCUCUGUCCCCACAGCGUUACGUAGAUGCCUGGUAGCACCAGACGAGUGAAACAGAACAGAACCCAGGACUCUGAAAACGAAAUUGAGCAGGCGUGGCACGGUGGGUUGUAUCAGAGCGUAUGCUUGGGUCCCAUCCCACACGGAGCACCGGUGUAAGUACCAACUACUCCACUUCCCAUCCAGCUUCCUCCAAAUGCAUCCUGGGAGGUAGCGGGAGACGGCUCAAGUGUUUGGUCCCAACCCCGGCGUGGGAGCCCUGGAUGGAGUUUUGGGAUGCUGCUGCACUUCAACAGGAUGGGGGCAUGCUAAAACAGAAGGAGGAUCCAGUGUCUCCCAACACAAUGGGCAGGCUGUCCGUAUAAUGAUUAAGAAUCACCUGCCGUGCCAAGAACCAGAAAUGCGUAGCUUGCGUAAGAAGAGAGAUCCCCAGGCGGCCACUCUGGGAAACUUCUGAGGGUUGAAAAGCAGCCGUCACAAAAACGCUUCAAGGCCAAUCGCAAGUUAUCUUGAAACAAGUGACAAAACAGAAAAUGUUAGCGAGAGACAAUUUUUUUUUACAAAGAGCCAAAUAAAAAUCGUAGACUGGAGAGAAUAAAAUAAACCAAAAUAAAAUGCGUCUGACGCAAGAAUGAAUCUACGAACCAGGAAGUAGAACAAUAGAGAGAAAAUGGAAUGAGGAAACUGAACAUGGCCUCGGGGACCUGAGGAGCUAUUUCAAAAAUCCAACUUUUGUGUCAGUGGAGACUAAGGAGAGGAGAAGGUCUGGGGCCGAAAAAAUAUCUCAGGAACAGAUGGCAGAAGCUUCCAAAUCUGGCAAAUGGCAAACCAUCUAAGAAGUUUGGCAAACCCCAACUAAGAUCAGCCCAAGGAAAUCUGUGCCACACACCUCAUCAUUAGGCUUCUGGAACAAAAAGCGAACAAAGAAAAUCUUUGAAAGUAGACACACGAGUAGAGAAAUAGACGCGGGCUGUAUGGAGUAACAGCUGGAAUGAUGGGAUUUGGUCAGAAGCACCGCAGGCCAGAAAGAAGCAGAGGAGGGCACUUGCUGUGCCUGGGACGCCAGCGCCCCGACGAGUUCUGGGCGCCGUCCAGCUCUGACCCAGCUCCCCGGCAAUGCGGCUCCUGGGAGGCGGCGGGUGGUAGCUCCAGUGCUUCAGCUGCCGCCGCCCGUGUGGGAGAGCAGGCUGAGUUCCUGGUUCCUGGCUUUGGUCUGGCCCAGUCCUGUGUGGGCAUUCAGGGGAGUGAACCAGCAAAUGGAAGGUCCCUCCCCCAUCUUUGUCCAUCUUUGUCUGUCUUUCUCUCACAUCUUUUCAAAUAAAUAAAUCCUUAUAAAGUGCGAUUCAAUGGCUUUAGAAUAUUCAAAGGGUUGUGCAAUCCUUUUUUAAAAUAUUUAUUUAUUUGAAAGAGUUACACGGAGGAUGGAGAGGGGGGAGGGGGAGAGGGAGAGUGAGAAUGAGAGGGAGACUCCACCCACUGGUUCACUCCCCAAUUGGCCUCAGUGGGCGGAGCUGUGCCAGUCUGAAGCCAGGAGCCAGAAGCUUCCUCCAGGUCUCCCACGUGGGUGCAGGGGCCCAAGGACUUGGGCCAUCUUCUGCUGCUUUCCCAGGCCAUAGCAGAGAGCGGGAUCGGAAGUGGAGCAGCUGGGACUUGAACCAGUGCCCAUGUGGGAUGCUGGCGCUGCAGGUGGCAGCUUUACCCACUAUGCCACAGCGCUGGCCCCGAUUGUGCAAUCCUUACCAGUCAAUUUUAGGACAUUUUCAUUAUCCCUGAGAGAAACUCCAUAUCCAUCAAUAGUCACUGCCAUCGUGUCCCGAGCCCAGGCCCCAAGUCUGCUUUCUGUCUGUCUGGAUUCGCCUACCCUGGACAUGUCACGUAAUUGGAAUCCUGUUGGUGGCUUUUGUGUCUGGCUUCUUUCACUCUGCAGAACGUUGUCAGGUUCCUCAGCACUGUGGUGUCUAUCAGCACGCACGCGUCUUUAUUGCCGAGUAGUACUCCACUUAGAGACGCGUCACUUGGCUGUGUUCCUCACUGUUUUCAUCUGCACGCUGUGGGCAGUGCUGCCGGGCUUCCACAGUGUGGACACACGUGUUCAUUCCUUGCAGACAUUCCUGCUGGAGUUGCUGGGUCACUCCCUGCUCAGCAGCUCGAGGAGCUGCCGACUGUUUCCCAUUCAGCUGCUCUGAUGGCCGGUCCCACCAGGGCUGCCUGAGAGACCCGGUGUCUGUGUCAUCAUCGACGCUUUUAUCUGACUUGUGGUUCCUGCCAUCUUCAUGGGCUGGCAGUGGUAUGUUACUGUGGCUUAAAAAUUUUUUAAAUGUAUUUGAAAGGUAGAGAGAGAGCGAGAGCGAGAGAGCGAGCUCCUGUUUGCUGGUUCACUCACCAAGCAUCCACAGUGCUGGGGCUGGCCCGGGGAGCCAGUCCAGGUCUCCCACGUGAGGGGCAGACACCUGGCCAUGUAAGCCUUCACUGCUGCCCCCCCACGAUCUGCGUGGGCAGGAAGCCGGCGUCAGGAGCCAGAACUGGGCAUUGAACCCGGGUACCCCGAUGUGGGCGUCUUACUCGGAGUCUGAAAUGCUGGGCAGAUGAUCUGCUGUCCCUGGUGGCUGACGAUGUUGAUCUUUUCACUUGCUUAUUGGCUGUUCCCAUGUCUGUGGAGAGCUGUUCAUUCAAGUCCAGUGCCCUUUUUUUUUUUUUUUAAUUUUUUAUUUGAGAGGUAGUUACAGACAGUGAAAGUGAGAGACAAAGAGAAAAGUCUUCCUUCCAUUGGUUCACGCCCCAAAUGGCUGCAACUGUUGGAGCUGUGCCGAUCUGAAGCCAGGAGCCAGGAGAUUCUGGGUUUCCCACACGGGUGCAGGGGCUCAAGCACUUGGGCCAUCUUCUGCUGCUUUCCCAGGCCAUAGCAGAGCCUGGAUUGGAAGAGGAGCAGCUGGGACUUGAACCGGCGCCCAUAUGGGAUGCUGGCCCUGCAGGUGGCGGCUUUACCCACUAUGCCACAGCGCUGGCCCCUAGUGCCCAUUUUUAGUUGGAUUGUUUUUGUUGUUGAGUUGAGGCUUUAAUUUGGGGGUGAGGGGAGUUGGCAGAAGGUUUUCCAAAUGCAGGAGUGAGUGGCAGGGUCAUUUGGGCUGCCACAGGGGGAGAAUGUAGGGACGCCGUGGCGAAGGCCAGCAGUAUCGGAUCCUGGGAUAAUCCUGGAGCCAAUUGGUGUGACUGGGAGGCGGCUGGGGUAACAGGAACUGGUGGGACAGGGCAGGUUCUGGAUUCAUUCUGAAGGGGGCGCCUACAGAUGUGAGAAGUCAGGUCUGCCUGUCACCGGGAAGCAUGGAGGCACGUCAGCUGGGAAGGCGGAUCUGUGUCCUGUCACUGACAAAGUAGCACAGGCCGCGUGGCUUGAAGCAACAGGCAUUUCUCGCCUCUCAGCUCUGAGGCACGGCAGGAACCAAGUGAUGGUGGGGGCUCCAGAAGCUGCAGGAGCGUCCUCCUGCCCUUGUGCGUCUCUGGAGGCCACCGGCGCGCGGGUUCCUCGGUUUACAGUGACUUCACUCUGGUCUUGGUCUCCGUUGGCGCAUGGCCACCGUCCCUCUGCACGUCUCUGUCCAAAGUUCCCUCCUCUCAAAAGGACAUCGUCAUUAGAUUAGGGUCCACCCCAAGGACGAUGUUAGCCUGGUCGUGUUUGCAAAGAUCCCAUUUCCAGGGGGCAGGAGAAGCUCAGGGAUGAGGCUAGGAGCUGUGUGUCAGACGUGCGAGCUCUGAGAGGUCUAGUCACACGUCCCCAGAAGAUGCUGAGCAGGCAGCUGGAUAUAGGAGCUGUCAAAGCAAACUUUUCAAAAAGUUCAAAACGUGAGUCACGCAACUCUAAAGAGAGGCUGUGUCAGAGAUUUAUUUAAACCAUUAAUGAGGAAACUGGUCUGGUGGUGAAACCUGCUCAAAAGAGAGAGGGAAGCAUUAGUAGUGACUGGAACGAAGCUUGCUUGUAUGAACUUGCUAAUGUAGAUUAAAAAAAUUGGUUAAUGUUCCACAGGAGCCACACAAUUGCCACCUUUUUCCAGCUAAGAUCUUUCUACCAGAGAGAAAUAAUUUCUACCACUCACUACUGGACAAAAAUUCAUUGGCAUUGCUAUCAGGCCAUCCAAGUACUAAGUACUAACCAGGCCCAACCCUGCUUACCUCCAAGAUCAGACGAGAUCGGGCGUGUUCAGGGUGGUGUGGCCACAGAUUAGCGUGUUUUCUGUGGAUACGGUCUACCUUUGGUGAGUUGUAAAAUGUCCUAAUCAAUAAUGAACAGCCAGCUAGUAGGUGCACAGUGCCUCCGGCGGGCUGGCUCAACAACACUCGGCUUGGCCCCGGAAAGGACACAGUGUCGUCUUUUUACCCAUUCCUGAGUUUGGAAAAUGUCCCCUAAGAUUUCCCCCUUGUGGUGACAGACAGGGUACGGCAGUUGUCUGCUUGUGCUCUGACCUGAUUCAUCUGGCCAGACGCUGUGAGCAAGAGUAAUUAACGUGCAAGCCUCCUUGUUUGGCUGCUUAUCUAAGCCACGUGGCCUUUCACAACGACCCAGGCCAGAAAACCAGCUCUGCGUGGAGAUGUCAUCAAAAGGAAUGCAGGUGGGAGCCUCCAUUGUGCCUGAAGUGCUCUCUGAUUUCUCUUCCCAGGCUCGGACGCCACAUCAGCCCCGCUCGGGUUUGCGUGCGGUCACUGUGCGUGUGGGAGAAUCUCUAGUUCCUGGGGAACGCCAGCAUCUGAGACAGUCCUCGGCUUGUCAGGAAGCGUCUUCCUUCGGACCUGUGAACCUGAGAUCUGUAUGCCAGAGCACAGGUCUUCAAAUGAAUAAGUGCGAGUUUCUCCAGCAGACGCCCCGGCACAGACGCACUUAGGGACAUAUAUGGACUCAGCCCUGCGGCGGGCAGUAUGCGCACUGCGCUGGCUUGCAUCUCCCUGAAGUGGCCACAACUGCUCCCAUACAACACGCUCCUCCUAAAGUGCGACUUUGACACUCCUUACUCCAAAAGGUUCAGGCUGACGAAGUCUGAAGAAGGGCCUCGGAGCCGGCCUCUUCGCUCUCAGGAUCCCGGAGUGUCACCUGGCGUGCCUCCACGAGUGACUUUCUGCACCUGAGCACAUUUGUGAAGCCGUGGCCCAUUUCCUGUUCUGGGAAGAGUUUCGUCUUCUCAUCUCUUUCACGAGACUGUGUCUUGCCUCUGCCCUGCCAUGGGAGUUCCUCCAGCUUCUUGGUUUGUGUCCAGUCCCCGUGUGAGGAGGGAAGGACGCGGCCUCUGCUGGCUGCCCUGGCGAGUUUGGACUCAGAUAAGGAGACAUCCAUUCAUGGAACGGAGGCAGAGUGGACAGUGAGAGACACAGAGAGAAAGGUCUUCCUUUGUCGUUGGUUCACCCUCCAAUGGCUGCUGGGGCCGGCGCACUGCGGCCAGCACACCGCGCCAAUCCAAUGGCAGGAGCCAGCUUCACAACCUCAACCUGGAUUCCCGAACCUCAGCCUCCCUCAGGACCCCAACCCCGGUCCACGAGCCUGUCAGGACUUCAACGCUGCUCACUAUGGGACCCCAACUCCAGCCUGGAAACCUAUUAGGAUCCUGACGCUGGGUCC